AUUGAACGCUGGCGGCAGGCCUAACACAUGCAAGUCGAGCGGAUGAAGGGAGCUUGCUCCUGGAUUCAGCGGCGGACGGGUGAGUAAUGCCUAGGAAUCUGCCUGGUAGUGGGGGAUAACGUCCGGAAACGGGCGCUAAUACCGCAUACGUCCUGAGGGAGAAAGUGGGGGAUCUUCGGACCUCACGCUAUCAGAUGAGCCUAGGUCGGAUUAGCUAGUUGGUGGGGUAAAGGCCUACCAAGGCGACGAUCCGUAACUGGUCUGAGAGGAUGAUCAGUCACACUGGAACUGAGGAACGGUCCAGACUCCUACGGGAGGCAGCAGUGGGGAAUAUUGGACAAUGGGCGAAAGCCUGAUCCAGCCAUGCCGCGUGUGUGAAGAAGGUCUUCGGAUUGUAAAGCACUUUAAGUUGGGAGGAAGGGCAGUAAGUUAAUACCUUGCUGUUUUGACGUUACCAACAGAAUAAGCACCGGCUAACUUCGUG
rnacentral:rRNA from 1 species